rnacentral:lncRNA from 1 species
UUUUUUUUUUUAUUGAAGAAAACCAGAAACUAGCAUUCCAGGGCCGAAAAGCCUGAGAGAUACAUAGAAAGCCCAACACGAUGCCAACAACUGAAGCAACACAAACAAGGCAGCAACGGGGAUAAAAGAAAGACACUAGAACCAAGUUCAAGUGUCACCGCAUGAACUGCUCAUGAAGAUAAAAGGGGACACGGCAAACCAUCUUGACU